GAUAUCCGAUACGAUUGUCCUAUCAACAUGACAGUUUAAUGAUAUUCUGUAGCUACUGAAAUGAUAAAAUGGUUGACUUUCGUACUCCAAAAAGACUAGCAGUCAAGUCGAGGUUCGAGGUGACACAUGAUGACUCCCUUCGUCUAAUGUGACAGAUCACAUGAUGAUAUGCAUAUCGGAUCAUCUUGAACUUGGGAGUGGGGGGU
rnacentral:lncRNA from 1 species